rnacentral:rRNA from 1 species
CGCAAUGGGCGAAAGUCUGACGGAGCGACGCCGCGUGAUUGAUGAAGAGCUUCGGUUUGUAAAGAUCUUUUUUGAGGGAAGAAGUUUAUUGACGGUACCUCAUGAAUAAGGACCUGCAAAACUCGUGCCAGCAGCAGCGGUAAUUCGAGUGGUUCAAGCAUUAUCCGGAUUUUUUGGGCGUAAAGGGUGUGUAGGUGGUUUUGUUAGUUUUCUGUUUAACCCCUGGGCUCAACCCGGGAUUUGCAGGAGAAACGGCAUAAUUAGAGGUUGUGAGAGGUGUACAGAACUCAUGCUGUAGGGGUGAAAUCCGUUCAUAUCAUGGGGAAUACCAAAAGCGAUGGCAGUACACUGGCACAUACCUCCACUGAGGCACGAAAGCGU